rnacentral:rRNA from 1 species
GAUGAACGCUGGCGGCGUGCCUAAUACAUGCAAGUCGAACGGGGAGUAGCAAUACUCUUAGUGGCGAGCGGGUGAGUAACGCGUUGGUACCUGCCCCGAAGCGGGGGAUAACGGACCGAAAGGUCCGCUAAUACCCCAUGUGCUCGGUAACGAGUAAAGGUGAAAACCACUUUGGGAGGGGCAUGCGUCCCAUCAGCUAGUUGGUAAGGUAACGGCUUACCAAGGCGAUGACGGGUAGGGGACCUGAGAGGGUGGCCCCCCACAAUGGAACUGAAACACGGUCCAUACACCUACGGGUGGCAGCAGUAGGGAAUAUUGGUAAUGGGCGCAAGCCUGAACCAGCAACGCCGCGUGUGCGAUGACGGCCUUCGGGUUGUAAAGCACUUUUGACUGGGACGAGGAAGGACGGUACCGGUCGAAUCAGCCUCGGCUAACUACGUG